AUUGAACGCUGGCGGCAUGCCUUACACAUGCAAGUCGAACGGUAACGGGCCUUCGGGUGCCGACGAGUGGCGAACGGGUGAGUAAUGCAUCGGAACGUACCUUUCAGUGGGGGAUAACGUAGCGAAAGUUACGCUAAUACCGCAUAUUCUGUGAGCAGGAAAGCAGGGGAUCGCAAGACCUUGCGCUGAUUGAGCGGCCGAUGUCAGAUUAGCUAGUUGGUGAGGUAAAGGCUCACCGAGGCGACGAUCUGUAGCGGGUCUGAGAGGAUGAUCCGCCACACUGGAACUGAGACACGGUCCAGACUCCUACGGGAGGCAGCAGUGGGGAAUUUUGGACAAUGGGGGCAACCCUGAUCCAGCCAUGCCGCGUGAGUGAAGAAGGCCUUCGGGUUGUAAAGCUCUUUCGGUCGGGAAGAAAUCGCAUGGGUUAAUACCCUGUGCGGAUGACGGUACCGGCAUAAGAAGCACCGGCUAACUACGUGCCAGCCGCCGCGGUAAUAC
rnacentral:rRNA from 1 species